UCGUGCUAGACGGGGAGGUAGCGGUGCCCUGUAACCUGCAACCCGCUAUAGCAGGGUUUAAUUCCAAAGUACGGCCGGUGCUGUGUUCAACUAUCUCAGUAAGUGAUGUUGAAACUUCAAGCUGUUACAAUGGUUUUUUACUGAACCCCGUCAGGCCUGGGAAGGAGCAGCGGUAGGUGAUGAAGUCAUUAGGUAGCGGUUUGCUGAAGUGGAGUUAACUGUUGCGAUCAGGCGAAUAUCCAGAUCGGUCCAGCAAUGGUGCACGA
rnacentral:SRP_RNA from 1 species